CCUACGGGAGGCAGCAGUAAGGAAUCUUCCACAAUGGACGAAAGUCUGAUGGAGCAACGCCGCGUGCAGGAUGAAGGCUUUCGGGUCGUAAACUGCUUUUAUAUGGGAAGAUUAUGACGGUACCAUAUGAAUAAGGACCGGCUAACUACGUGCCAGCAGCCGCGGUAAUACGUAGGGUCCAAGCGAUAUCCGGAAUUACUGGGCGUAAAGCGUGUGUAGGUGGAUUAAUAAGUGUGAUGCGAAAUCCGGCGGCUCAACCGUUUGGACUGUGUCGCAUACUGUUAGUCUAGAGGACGGCAGAGGUAAGUGGAAUUACGGGUGUAGCAGUGAAAUGCGUAGAUAUCCGUAGGAACACCAAUGGCGAAGGCAGCUUACUGGGCCACACCUGACACUGAGACACGAAAGCGUGGGGAGCGAACAGGAUUAGAUACCCUGGUAGUCCACGCCGUAAACGAUGCAUACUAUUAGUAUGGGGUAUCGACCCCCUGUGCUGAGAAGCUAACGCGAUAAGUAUGCCGCCUGGGGAGUACGAGCGCAAGCUUAAAACUCAAAAUGAAUUGACGGNGNGAGACGNGCGAGACGACGACGAGGGAGAGG
rnacentral:rRNA from 1 species